rnacentral:rRNA from 1 species
CAGCCGCCACGGGAAUACGGAGGGCGCGAGCGUUACCCGGAUCUACUGGGCGUAAAGGGCGUGUAGGCGGCCUGGGGCGUCCCAUGUGAAAGGCCACGGCUCGACCGUGGAGGAGCGUGGGAUACGCUCAGGCUAGAGGGUGGGAGAGGGUGGCGGAAUUCCCGGAGUAGCGGUGAAAUGCGCAGAUACCGGGAGGAACGCCGAUGGCGAAGGCAGCCACCUGGUCCACUUCUGACGCUGAGGCGCGAAAGCGUGGGGAGCAAACCGGAUUAGAUACCCCCGUAGUCCCUGUCUCUUAUAC